GGAGGAAGUGGUUCUGAGUUGGUCCAUGGGUGAGUGUGGAAAAAGUGCCAACUGACUGGCUGAAAGGCAUCAAGGAAGUUCCCACUCUGGGUUGCAGACCCUACCUGGAACUGGAAGCCCAGCCCCCAGGCUUUAGGUUAUCCUUGACUUGAUGGUUGGGCCCCACCAGGGACCUGCCCUGCCUAGGAACCUGUCUGCCUCCCGCCACCACCGAUAGCAUCUUUUAUUAAUAGCAACUCCGCAGGACUCAAAUACAUUCCUGGGUUACCAACAAAGACAUCACAACCACCCUGACUACAUCUUUGGCAGCAGGUUAAACCACUGAAUUUCGGGGAGCUGUUGAGGAGAAGCUGAGUGCCUUGUGGAAGAACACACCGUGAGGAGGAGCCUGAGAGAGCUGGUCACUGAGAAAAUCAUCAUCCGAGAAGAAGUGGUGACAUUGUGUGCUUAGAGGAGUGUGAUUCCUCCCUUUUCUCUACCUGCCUUAUGAAACACUCAGUAAAUUCUACUUUUCCCACUACCUCUUUUGGUGUGAGCAGUUUAUUUUAGAGCCCUCCAAAGAGGUACUGUGGUCCUUCACAAGGUUGGCAGGGUGGAAGAAGGUGGAGGAAGACCAGUUAGGGAUUAACCAGACACCUGAAAAGACUUUCUAUCUUUUCUUUACCUAUUCAUUUAUUAUCCUCCUGUCAUCUCUUUCCCCUUGAGCCUAUUCAAGGAUCUCCCCUCUCUCACGUUUCCAUCUCUGGCUCCCUCAUGGGCUCCUCUUCCUCCGAGGUCAACAGGUCUUUGCUCGUCCCCACUGUCGAGUUUCCUAGAGUCAGCCGUCACGACUGGGGUCAAUAGAGAGAACUAUAAGCUGCCUCUCACAAAAUAGCCAAUAAUGGUACUACAACUUACUGAGUUUUUAUAUAUAUUGAUUGUGGUGCUAGGUACCUCACAUAUAUAAUUUCAGUUAGUCUUUUUAACUACUCUGUAUAGCAAAUAUUAUUAUUGCUUUGUCACAGAAAGCAAACUGAGAGUCACUGGCUUGAUGUUCCAUGGGCUUGAACUAUUUUUACUUCCAAACAGGCUGCUAGUUAAAGUCAGGACAGUCGAUAGGCAGGAGGAUGAUAAGAGCACAGCGGCUGAGGCCAGGCAUGGUGGCUCAUGCCUAUAAUCCCAGCACUUUGGGAGACCAAGGUGGGCAGAUCACCUGAGGUCAGGAGUUCGAGACCAGCCUGGCCAACAUGGUGAAACCCCAUAUCUACUAAAAAUACAAAAAUUAGCCAGUGUGGUGGUAGGCACCUGUAAUCCCAGGUACUCGGGAGGCUGAGGCAGGAGAAUUGCUUGAACCCUGGAGGCAGCGGUUGCAGUGAGCCGAGAUCAUGUCAUUGCCCUCUAGCCUGGCGACAAGAGUGAGACUCAAAAAAAAAAAAAAGUA
rnacentral:lncRNA from 1 species